GUGUGGAACUACAAAUAAACGGUUACUAAAUGUCUGAAAUAACUGUAAAAAUACCCUUGGGGUAAUAGCAGAUAAACAUCUGCAGUUGGGCCAAGCAUCUGAAGGAAUCCCUCUAAAAACCAGAAAUGGUUCAUCCAUAAUGAUUUUUUCCAGAUCACUGAAUAGUGAUAAUGAAAGUCAUACUAAACUCAAAUCUAAAAUAAAAGUUCAUCCCAAACUAACAUAGGCCAGAGGCCCCAGACUUGAACAGAUUACUUAAAUGGCGAGGGGUUAAACAAG
rnacentral:lncRNA from 1 species